UCCCAUCAUAUAUUUUCAAAAAGUGUAUGUCAAACCCCCACAUGGCAUGACACAAGGAGGCAAUUUAAGACUGUUAAGUCUGAGCCAUUGAGAUGAAUGACCUGAAGUUGCUCCAUAAACACUCACUGAACGGCUUAUUGAUUAUGAUUAAUAACUCAUACUGUUGGAGGUUUGGCUGCUGCGCUCUUCACAAGAGAGCUUUAUGUCAGAGAAAGUGAUGAUGAAUGAAUGAAAGAAUGGAUGAAUGAACAGUUCACACAACAUCACAGCUUCAUACAUGCCAGAUCUAAAAUAGCUGAAUAUAAACUUUUAACUACAGGUCAAAAAAGUCUGAAUAUAACGGAAACAUAAUCCAUCAACUUUAACGAUCAAAUCUUCAGACUUUCACUGUCGACAAAUAAAUCAAAAUUACUGGGGAAAAAUAUAUAAAAACAGAAAAAUCCGGUUCGAAAUAAUUACUGCUCAUUAAAUAAUCCAUCUUACCUUCCUCAAGACAAAGUUGGCAAACUUGAAAAAUUACACCACUCCAAUUUGUGAUCAUCUGCACACCAUUUCACAGAUAAACAACUCUCUUAAAAAAUAAUAAUUGCAUGUACAGUAUAAAAAAAACACGAUGGGACGAACUUUAACCUUUUCCUGCUCUGUGUAUGAAUAGUAUAUAGCGUAUAUAUUUUUUCAAGGCUAAACUUGUUUCAUAUGCAUAUAUGAUAUUUGUGUUGUGCUCUUUUUCCAUCUUAACAAAUUAAUUUUUAGUAGACAUUGAAACUUCACCAGAUCAGGCAAGUCUGAAAGAUUCCCAGUAAAACUAUUGGCGACCGAGCAGCUCCACUCACAACAUGUGGGGUUAUUGUCCUGACGGGCGCCUCAGUGGUGCUAAUGAGACUGAAUGUGGAAGUGCUGCUCUUUGACUUUGACUACUUGCCCCCAAAUUUGUUGUUCUGGUCCCACGAUAAUGAACUCACGAUCCUGCUGUUCUAAUGUUCAGGCCAACAAAUCAAAAUAGUUUGAGUAGAUAAAUGGUUGGAAUGUCCAGCUUCAGCCACUCAAAGUGAGUUUCCUUGCGUUGAAAUUACACGAAGGCCGUCGCCCUGUCUGCAGAAGCGGCAGGAUAAAGAGGCACUUGACCACAUGUGUGAUUUGUUCACGACCGCUUCGAGCCACUGCUGCUUCAUAUUGGUUACAAAUCACACAAUAGGAAGAAGAGGAGGAAAUGAAACGUAUUCUGCUUCUUCGGUUCUUAGAGAAGCGUCUCCUGAGAAGCAGGAUGAAUGGUCGGUAUGUAAUCUCAACUGUCCCUCGAGUGUAGGAUAUUACAUAAGCUGUCUGAAAAACUGGCUCUGAAUCGUCGUCUGAGCGCCAACGUCAACAGUCGACGUGGCCACGCUCCCAAAAAUUCACUGCAGCAACUUAGAUUUCCACGCUGGUCAUUGAUGAUUCGAGCCCUGAAAAGAUGCUGAGCAGAGGAAAAUGACAAAUCAUCUCGCCGUGGGGGGGGGGGCGGCGCUCACGUCAUGCAUCACAUCAUGGACGCCGGUGGGCGGAGGUGUGUGGCAAGCCUGUAAUAAACUGACACAUUGGCUCAGUGGACAUGGCAGGAAGCAAAUGCGGGGCUGCCAAGCCAAAUAAAGUCAGACCCCCUAUCAGUUAUUUGGAUGUCAUUGAUACAGUCUGCAGACGGAGCCCAUUUGGCAAGCAGCGGCCCCUUUGGACGGGAAACUGCAUGGAGCCGGUGUGUGUGUGUGCUCGGCAGGUUUUUUCGAGGGAGCUGAGGCGUGCACACAGUACGACUUAUUCAAAUAGCUCACAGAGGAGAGAUGAAGCGAGGAAUGAGUUGGUCUUUAUGGGGAGGAACAGCAGGAAAAUGCCCGUUAUAUAACAAUAACAUCAUAUGAUGACAAGGCCUGCACAGUCUCUGGGUGACUGGUCGAGAGAGAUGCUUGUUGGUUCUCUAUUUACGGGGGGGGGGCGCCAUCAAGUUAUUUUCAUACGUAUUGUAUUUACUGGAGGAAAUAUGGUGAGGGCGAUCACAUGUCAGGCUUUUCUUGAUGCCUCCGAUGAAUGAGAUGAUUCCCUCUAUAUUUCUCCUAGUAUGUCUGGCAACAGGCAGUGCACAGUCAAAACUUCCACAGCACUAAUUCUGUCAACAUUCAAUGCAAGGAUGGGACAAAUAAAUAAAGGUCAGGUCAUUUCGAAGGAACACGUUUAUCCAUCUGCCGAUGUGCCCUUGAGCAAGGCACCUAUAGCUCCCCAUCUGCUCCCCAGGUGUCGCAGCUGAAUUUGCCCACCGUUCAAGGUGUUUGUGUGCGGCGAAGAGCCUCAUAAAUGACAGUCUCGUGUGGUCAGAGGGUUUUGAGCGAAGGUCGGGGGCCAUUAAACAUGAAUGAGGGACCAGUGUCGUCAGGUGGCGAGGGGCCCGGUGCCCAAGGUGUGGGCCGCUCAGGUGUCACCGGCUGGCCGUGUGUGAAGAGAGAGAGAGGGAGAGAGAUGGAGAGAGAGAGGGAGCAGAGAACAGGAGAUCAACAGCUGAGGAGGUAUCAGGUCACCUGGUGGAAAAGACGCUGUUCAGCUCCGGACCUGGACACGUCCGCAGGAAGUCUGAAAGGCACUUUAUGGUGAUUUUGACCCGCAUGUCGCUGCUUCUGUCCGAUGCUAAUGAGUCAGUUCAGAAUGGAGUCAUAUCAGAGGGAGUCAAUGAGAAGAAUCAGGAGGAACAGCAAGACUCUUCUGCAGGAUCUUCUAUACAAGGGAGGAGGAGGAGACAGAGACACGCCUAUCCCAGCUCAGCCCUGUAGAAAUGCUAAGAUGAUCCACUCCGUCGCCAGUCUGAUCCGGGGAAAGAGCAAACUCCUCCUCCUGGAGAGUCCGGAUACUGUGGAGAUCUACAAACUGAAUGAGCCGACAGCUCGUUCUACGAGAGCGGCUAAAGACGACGUCUACCUGCCAGCCAUCGCAACGAAGGCUUCGAGUCUGAGCUCGAUGCGAGGGGCUCUGAGCCAGUCCUGCCCUUACCUGUACGACAAGCGGCGGGGCUCGUUCUCCUCAGUUGCCUCCGGAGGUCACCCAAAAAAACAGAGCAACCUAAAGGCGCAAAGAGAGGCAAAGAAAUCCAACGUCACCGUAACAAUGACCUACCUCGGACAAGGUCAACAGGGGUCAGGGCUGGAUGAACUGAAGGUGCUUCAACAAGUCAACGGAGGGGAGAACAUCUGCGUCUUCAGGGGCCCGCUGACCCCAGGAGAGCAGUUCCAGUUUGUCUCUCGGCGACACAGAGGCUUCCCCUUCAGCGCCACAUUGUACGUCAAUGGCAUCAUGGCGGCGAGGAUCAGCUCCUGCUGCGAGUACCGCUACGCUCCCGGCUUCCAGCAGGGCAGGAAGAGCUGCUUCAGGCUGACGUGGCUGGCGGGCGGGACACCCUGUUACAGAUGCACAAGUCUCCGAAACAAAUACAGCUCCUGCCAGCAGCUGAACAACGGCACAAAGAAGAACUUAAUUCUCCCUCUCGAGCCGAGCCCUGGCAACGGAACCAUUGAGUCAUGUCCAUCAUCCCCGCUGUUUGUCCCGGCCAAACCAGAGACGAAACGGGUGAGGAGGAUGAGAAAACACGUGAGGGAAGGAGGAGGUGGAGGGUCUACGGACGGCGAGGACCUGCUGGCCGUAGCCGGGUUCAAAGAGACCUCCAAAAAGAAACGGAAGAAAAGUCAAACUAAUCGGAAAGAGGGCAAAGGCAGGACGGAUGGAAAUAACAGAGGGGAGGAGGAGGAGGGGCAAAAACGCAGGGAGGUGGAGGUCUCGCCGAGGUCAACGGUGACAGAAAAAUCGUCUGAGAGAGAAGAGCAGAAACAGCAGAAAACGACCAUCAGUGUCACAUCCCUGCGGAAAGAGCAGCCGAGACUGAAGAAGACGAGCACAGAUCUCGAUUCAUUGCAGGUUGAGGAAGCACUGACUAAGCAAAAGGCAGCGAGACCGAGGGAACGGGGAUCAAAUGGGAAAAGCAGAGACGGGGAAAGACUGAGGGACUUCUACGAAGAAUGUGUGGAAAUGAGUGGCGCGCUGGAGCACGGCCCAAACAAACACAACUGGUUCAAGGCAAACAUCCUGGAGAGGUGCCGGCUCCAGAGGAGGCUCUCAUCGUGCCCCAAAGCGCCGGGCUCGGAUGUGGAGCUCAGUCCAGAGAGUGACACCAUCCUGCAGCCGGAUGAGGAGCCAGAGGAGGAAGGAGAAGGGAACCCGGGCGGCCCGAGCCCCGAUAAAGAAGAGCCUGAUACAGAACAAGAACUGCAGGCUCAGCUCGACGCCAUGAUGACGGUGCUGAGCACGUCCGACGAGGUGGAGCAGCUGGUCCUGAGGAACACGGGCCUGACGGACGACCUGCUGCUGAGCCUGGCGGGGGCCCUGAAGUCCAGCCGGUCCGAGGUCACCCUGCUCAACCUCAACCUCAACCUCGUUGGCCCGUACAGUGCUCACGUCCUGCUGGACGUCCUGAGCGUCAAGACUCAGGUUAAAGGCUUACACUUGUUUGGAAACAAACUGCGUGACCACGGAGUGCUGAUCCUGCUGAAUGGAAUAGCUGAGCUGCAGGAGCAAACAGCGAGAGCUGCUGCCGCCGACCAACAGGCCAUGCUUCUUCCAUCUGAGCAAAGCGUGCCCCUGCAGCUCCCCACCGGGUGGAGCUCUCUCAGGAGUUUCGCACUCUUGGAACUGGAUAUUGGGGGAAACGGCUUGAGCAGCGAAGGGGUGAAGGUGUUGGCGUCGUUUAUGCGGCACCGCUCGUAUCUCCGCUACCUCGGGCUGGCGCAGACCAGCGCGGCCGACCUGGCCGCAUGGAAGGAGCUGUUCGACAGCCUGAAGGCAAACGCCUCGCUGACUCAGAUCAUCCUGGACGAGAACAACCUGGGGGACCCCGGGGUCAGGCUCCUGGCCGACAUGCUGAGAGAGAACACGAGUCUGCUGCAGGUGGACCUGGACGGGAACGGCGUCAGCGACGUGGGAGGGAACGACAUCAUGGGGGCGCUGCUCUGCAGGGCGCAGCGGCCCCUGAGGCAUCUGAGCCUCCAGGAGAACAACAUCAGCGAGGGGCUAAUGAGUAGGAUACAGGAGGAGGUGAAACGCGGAUGAAUUCUGACCGCGGGAGUGGAAGAAUUCCCUUUGAAGCCACGAGAGCGGUAUGCUAUACGUGAUAAACAAAGCACUGACUUGAGAGGAUUCUUUGUUGACAUUUUGAGGUCGCAAAGGGAAGAACUGACUCAUUUGACUCGUUUGACCCUCAAACACACACACAAGGAUUUCUUCCUUCCUGCAGUAUAACUGGGUGGCCCCGGCUAAGGCAUGCUGCAUCUCGAUUUAGCCCAGGCAGGUAGUGGAGGAGGCCUGUGUGCUCCAGGGCUGCACUGUGGUCUGCUUGCAUUUUUUCCAAAGAGAUCUCGAUGAUCUGAACCGUUUUUCUUCUUUGUGGUGGGGUUACAUCUUCACCUUGAUGUCUUUCUUUUAUACCUCUUCUUCCCACCAGCGUUACCCCUGACGACUGCACAGCUCUUACUUUUCUAAAAAACCGACACAAGGCUCGCCGAUCCCUCGGUCCUUUCAACAAAUCAGUUUCUGCCGCCUGACAAAAAAAGAAAGCAACCACAGUGAUUCAUUCCGCCCACGGUAUUUACAGGUCGCGGAUGACUAAUCCGCAAUUCUCCCUCCAACAACAACCCCCCGCCAGAACAUUUCAGUAGCCACCAUUACUGUAGAUCCCCACUUCUACAAAUCAAAGGAGAGUUACGGACAGCUAAGCCAUGCCACGUCAACUAUACCUUCAUUUUGUUGUUCUCUUCUCAGACAGUAAUUCUAUUCAGAAUCCCAGCAUGACGGGAGAGGGGGAAGCAAAACUAGGGCAGAUUCAUCUGAAUUUCUGGGGCCGUCAUCUCAUUGUUCUAUCAACGCCGACAUUCUGAGAAUAACUGCACCUGUGAUCAAAGCUCGUCAAAGUGGUAAUUAUCUGGUCCUCGUGGGGCUGCCAGCAGUGACUCGCUGAAAACCAAUCCCCUCCAUAUUUCAUCUGUAAGUCUUUUUGCGAAUUCCUUCUCUGCGGAACCCCGAUAAAGACGCUCUGCCAAACCCGGGGAGGAUGACAGAUAAAUGAGGUGCACCUGAAGAUUACAUCUGCAGAAGUCAAUCCGCACUCACGUUGGGUAUGUUUUGGCGUUGUGAUAUUGCACAUUUAAAACUCUUGCACAGAAAGAAAAGACGUCUACAGUGCAUGUUGUCGCAUUUUGUAAUGUCAUUUAUUUCUAUCUAAAGUGCAGAGGAGAUUCUGUUAUCGGCACUUAAAAGACUCGCCUCUUUUUGACUGUUAAUCUUCGGAGAUCUCAACAGCCACGUUUGUGGCGCGUUGAGUCCGGCGCUAAGUGGAAACACCGCCAUGCCUGGCUGAGCAUGAGCCUGCAAACAAGAGCUGCACUGUGAUUCGCCGACUCCUCCGAUAAGUUCGUUUGAAUCCAGUGUUGCUGAUGCAAGGACAUUUGUUUUUAAUACGAAAAGUAUUUCAUGAGUCUUGAAACAUCGCCUGGCUUCGUGGCAGGUUUAAGAUGAUGACAUGCUAAUCAGCGGACCGUAGGAAGGGAGCAGGAAGUUGACGUUGGCCGGCGCACACCGGAGCAGAGGAUGAACGUGGACCGGCCUGGCUGCUGAUGAGAGCGUUUCCUAGAAGUUCUCUAGAUUUACGAGAUGUAGUGCGGCGGUGAGAUCUCUCCAUAACAGAUGUCCUGGAAUAUUGGUCGAGACCAGGAGGGCAAUUUACAGACCAGAUAUGGUGUCAUGGUGAUCCAUCGGAAGCAACAGUUACUUAAGAACAAAUUGUUCUCUUUGCUGUAACAUCCAGUGACAGACUUAGAAAUUAUUUUCUUAUUGGAUCUUGAAGACUGAACAAAUUGUUACCAUGUGGUUUGACCUUGAAAAGUGAUGCCAAUCCUCCAUUGAUACGCUUGAGCAGCCUCAUUCCAAAAUGUUUGAUUGUUCAGUGCUUCCUCUUGGAAUUUUGUCAUAUUGGUGGGACUGGUUCCUAACCUGGGACCCACACAAUAUGUCAAAAGACGAAAGUUAGGUAAGUAAAAAGUUAUUAAUGGGACAGGAUAAUCAAAUCAUAUCACCAUUUUUUGAGAUUCUUUAAAAAGAUAUUUAAAGUAAGCAAACUACAUUCUGAAUUAAACCUACGAUAAAGUAGUCAGACAGACGAUUAGGACAUUUUAAGUGCGUAUAAUAAAAGUCCCAAAAACUUCGAAAGUACUGAUCACACUAAAAACAAAAAAAUCAUCUAGUUGCAGAAUGGGCUUCUGUCCUGUCUUCAGAUUAUAAACCAAUUGGUGUUCAGUACACUCUGUACCGCCAGAUUCACUGCAUUAUGUCACAAAGCAUUUUGAUGAUGGUGAAAGGAAAGUUUUGGAAUCCGCUCCUCGAACAAUGGCUCCUGCUGCUGUUUGACAUUUGGCAGAAAGAGCAGCUUUUCAAUAUGGAUUAUUCAUCAGCGGUUUGAUCCUCCACUCAAAUGUCACCACAACAAUGCCUCCGACUUGGCAGCAGCGUCAGUCUUUCCCGCAGCUCCACGGGAUAAGGAAUUGGCAAUAAUUACCACAUCUAAUGUGGCCUUCAGAAAGAUUUAGACUUUGUGUUGAAGCACUCCUGCUUUUCAAAUUACUAUUGGUACCAUUUUAUUGAGACUUAAGGAGAGAAUUGAGAACCUACCUACCGCAUCACUACACUGUUGCGCUCUGACUUGGAAUAGUUGUAAAAUGCAGGAAACGUAUGGCAGCUGCAGCAGAACACGGCGUCUCAGGUGACUGAUGGAUGCAACAGACCCGAGGCCACAAAAAUGAAAUGUCAAAUUAAUUUAGCAAACGUACAACUCGACUCCAAAACAUGGUGGUAAUAAACAUGCCGUUCAUAAAAU